GCCAGUGUAGCCCAACUGGAAGAGGCGUCGGUCUUAGAAACCGAGCGUUAGAGGUUCGAGUCCCUUCACUGGCA
rnacentral:tRNA from 1 species